AAUCAAGUAUGGUGGUACCUCCCUAAGCAUCUUUUGGCUCAAGACUGUCUUAGCUAAUCCUACUUCCUUUUGGCCCGGAAAUGCUUGGGGUUGGUUUUUGGUUUUCUGCAUCUGUGAAGAGGCCAUGUAAUUUUGAUUGGAAUUGCAUUGACUCUGUGGGUUGCUAUUGGUAGGGUGGCCAUUUUUACAAGAUUAGUUGUGCCUAUCCAUGAGCGUGGAAACUCUUCAAUCUUCUUGCAUCUUUCUUAAUUUCUGUGUUGUUUGUUGUAAAGUUUCCAUUGUAGAGUUCUUUUAUUUCCUUGGUUCAGUUUGUCCCUAGGCAUGUUUACUUUAUUUUAUUAUGUCUGUUAUAAAUGGAAUUUCCUUUUUGGUGUGUUUGUCAUUGGUAUAUAAGACAGCUCUUGGUUUGUACGUGUUUUGUGUCUUCCCACUUUGCAGAAAGUAUCAUCUAUAAAAGGAUUUGGGUGGAGACUUUAGGAACUCUUAUAUAAUAAGUCAUAUCUUCUGCAAACAAGGAUCCUUUGUUCUUUUUUUUUUUUCCUAUUCUUAUCCCAUUUAUUUCCUUCUCUUGUCCUAUUGGUCUAGCUGAGACUUCAAACUGUACUGCAUAGCAAUAAAAAGAAUGGGCCUCCUUAUUUACCCCGGAUCUUAGUGUGAAUGUGUUUGAGGUUUUCUGCAUUUAGUACGAUGGGCUGCUGUAAACAGCUUUGAGUGUGUUGAUGUACACGCCCUCUGUCACUAGCCUUUCUAUGAUUUCUACCAUGAAUUCUGGAUUUUACCAAGGUUUUCUAGUAAGGUGGUAUUAUUUCUGUGUUUUAAUCUUCACUAAAUGAUGAGUUACAUUUAUGUAUGUCAAACUAUUCCUGCAUUGCUAAAAUUGACUCGACACUUAAUUCAGGUUAGGGUUGGUCAUAGUCUCUCAAUGCAUAUGGUCUUUUUAGAAACUACAGUAAAUUAACAUAUAAUUAUAUCACUUCUCUCCUUCCUUUUCCUUCUUGAAAGUUUUCCAUGUCCUUCCUCACUCUCUCUCAAAAUGAUAGCCUUUUUCCCUCUGAUUCUUAUUGGUAUGCGCGGCUAAAUGUUCUCUGAGUCUUAGCUAAUGGGAGCUGUGCUGUAGAUAGAUCAGCGUGGUCUGUUGAUUGCUGCAGUUUGUCUACUGUCUUCUGUGGUGGUAGAGAGAGGCUGUACUGACCUGGGAGUUUCAAGAGUAUAAGUUUAGCUGCUGGUGCUGGUGCACGCCUUUGAUCCAGGUACCCAGGAAGCAGAGAAAGGUGGAUCUGAGUUUGAGACCAGGCUGAUCUACAGAGCAAGCUCCAGGUCAGCCAGGGCUCCACACAGAGAAACUGUCUC
rnacentral:lncRNA from 1 species